GUAUUUGGCUAAGUGGUAGAGUCUAGGACUUGUGCACCGGAGGGUCCCGGGUUCGAUUCUCGCAAGAGGCA
rnacentral:tRNA from 1 species